rnacentral:lncRNA from 1 species
AAACGCCCCAUUUUGAGCGACUCAGACCAGUCCAGUGCAUUUGUAAAUAUCUCUCUUUGGAGAGACUUGGGCAGGAAGCUGGACGCUCCAGCUCCCGGCACACGGCUCUGGGGGGCCGAGGGAAAGAGGUACAGUCUCCCUCGAGGGGCUCCCCAAACCAUCGCGCUGGCUGCGCAGGCAGCACCAGCGGUGAAAUUCCAAGAGGCGCCCUGCUUCAUUGGGGUGAAUUUGAAAGAAAUUCUCUCGGGGGUCCAAGACCAGCCUCUGCGCAGCAGCCCCCCCCCUUAGUCUUCAUGCUCCCCAAUCUCCCCCACUGUCGAAAUGACAGGUACCCGAACAAAGCCAUCACCGCCAGCGCCCCGAUGGAGUCAGGCAGCCUUAUUUUGCCUUCUCACUCUGUUCCGGGCUGGUCUGUUAAUCUGCCUUGUACAUUCUGUACACGGGAGGUUCAGACUGAGGUUUCCUCCCUGCCUCGUCCUGAUUCUCACAGAUCUUCUCUCGGUUGGAUGGAGUUCCCUGCGCCGUGGCCCCGAAGAGAGCUGCCUUUUGAAAUGAGAGUGGAGGAGGCAGGAAGAGAGUCCGCGUUUCCGAGGGCACCGCAGAGACCGCGCCGGGUGCCGGAAGGAAGGCGGUUCUGUUCUUUCCUUCCCUCCCACCGCGGGAUGAAGACGGGGGCCCCGCGGUGAGACGUUGUAAGGGCCUUCGAGAUGGUGAAGGCAGAGCGCCGAGACCCCCGAGUGGGGGGGGCCCACGUGACGGCCCAGCACGGUCGCCCAGGGAACGGACCCUGGAGGCAGCCAGUCCGCAGCGAUUCGGUCCCGCAGAUGCUCCGAGAAGGCCUGUGGCCCUCCGAGCCCCGCGUCAGGGUUACUAACAGAAACAUCUGGCGGGUGGAGAUGAUGCUGCGUGAAAGCAGGUUGGACAACAGCAGCUCCCGCACACAUUUGUCUUUCGUUCACGAAGUCAUCCGUUCACAGGGCGUUUAUCCGCUUACUGGGCGCAGGCGCUGUGCCCGGGGUGACUGUCCAGGGAGCACGAGCUGCAGUCCUUGCCUCUCCCUCAGAGCGUCCAACGCCCCGGCAGCUGGAGCAGCCUAGACACUGGGCGUGGACGGGAGUGGCCACUGACGCUCCAAGCUCAGAAAUCUGUCCACUGAGCCCACGCCCCAUCCCUCCAUCCCAGGGACCCACUCACUGAGCACUUAGCGGGGUCUUUGGUGGCAAGCAACAGAAGCUGAUUCCUUUUUUUUUUUUUUUUUGUUUCCUUUUUAGGGCCACACCUGCGGUCUACGGAAGUUCCCAGGCUAGGGGUUGAAUCGGAGCUGUACCUGCCGGCCUGCACCACAGCCACAGCAGCACCGACUGAGCUGCAUCUAUGACCUAUGCCAUAGUUUGUAGCAACACUGGAUCCUGCAUCCACUGAGCGAGGCCAGGGAUCGAACCCACAUCCUUAUGGAUCCUAGUUGCGUUCUUUACCCAAUGACCCGCAAGGAGAAUUCCUGUUUAUUUAUUUUUUAUCAAAGUUAUACAUGUACAUAGUUUUAGGAGUUAAAUAGAUAAAUUGGUUUUUUAAAUGCAAUAAAGUGAUCCACUGCCCCCCA